CCUACGGGUGGCAGCAGUGGGGAAUAUUGGGCAAUGGGCGCAAGCCUGACCCAGCAACGCCGCGUGAAGGAAGAAGGCUUUCGGGUUGUAAACUUCUUUUCUGAGGGACGAAGAAAGUGACGGUACCUCAGGAAUAAGCCACGGCUAACUACGUGCCAGCAGCCGCGGUAAUACGUAGGUGGCAAGCGUUAUCCGGAUUUAUUGGGUGUAAAGGGCGUGUAGGCGGGAAUGCAAGGCAGAUGUGAAAACUAUGGGCUCAACCCAUAGCCUGCAUUUGAAACUGUAUUUCUUGAGUGCUGGAGAGGCAAUCGGAAUUCCGUGUGUAGCGGUGAAAUGCGUAGAGAUACGGAGGAACACCAGUGGCGAAGGCGGAUUGCUGGACAGUAACUGACGCUGAGGCGCGAAAGCGUGGGGAGCAAACAGGAUUAGAUACCCCAGUAGUC
rnacentral:rRNA from 1 species